rnacentral:lncRNA from 1 species
UGUUUCAGUGGCAGUGGCAGAUAGGGAUGCUGUUUGAAGCUUCUGGCAGGUCCCUAUAGGUGAAUCUUGGUUUAGGAUUUUAGAGCAAAGCCGUGCCAUUACCAACAAAUAACUAGUCUCUUUUUGAGAAACAGCUCUUGGCCUGCUACUGGGCCUUAGUAGAGACUGAUACUUAAUGAGUCACCAAGUUACCAUGCAACCUGAGCUUCCCAUCGUGAACUGGUUGUUAUCUGAGCCACCAACGCACAAAAAUUCAUCCCCCUUUAUUUUCCUGCCUCAUUGUUUGAGCUGUGACAUCUCAUCUUCUGUCCUCAGAUGGAUUUACAUCACUGGCUCCCCUGGUUCUCAAGCCUUUGGAUUCAGACUGAAUUAUACCACAGGACUUCCUGGGUCUCCAGCUUAUAGAUGACAGAUCAUGGGACCUCUUAGCCUCCAUAAUCAUGUAUUGUUUAAAAGUGUGUAGCACUCCCUCUUCGCUCUCUUCCUCCUGCUCCAACCAUGUGGAUGUGCCUCCUUCCUCUUCGCCUUGUGCCCUGAUUUUAAGCUUCCUGAGGCCUCCCCAGCCAUGCUUCCUGUACAGCCUGUGGAACCGUGAGGCAAUUAAUCUUCUUUUUUUACUAAAAAUAAAAAAAAUUAGCGAGUGUGGUGGUAUGCACCUGUAAUCCCAUCUACUCGGGAGGUUGAGGCAGGAGCAUUGUUUGAGCUUGAGAGGCGGAUAUGGCAGUGAGCUGAGAUCAUGCCAUUGCACUCCAGCCUGGGCAACAAGAGCAAGACUCCGUCUCAAAAAAAAAAAAAAAAAGAAAUGACAUUUUGAAAAUUACUGAACAGAGGGUGAACCCUAGUAUAAACUGUGAACUUUAGUUAGUAAUAGUGUAUCAAUAUUGGUUCAUCAGUUGUAACAGAUA